CGUUCUUCUUCUUCAUCCUUCACCCUUCUCCCAACUUUCCUUCAAAACCCUAAAUCCCUAAAUUCCAUCCAUAUGUUCUUCUUCUGCAACCUUCUCCCAAAUUGGACAUACUCCGUAAUUCUUCAAAUCAUAUGUUCUUCUAUCUUCUUCCACUUUCGAUUUUUGUUUACUCUCUCUGCGAACCUGCGAACAGAUGAACAUGACUUCGACCUCUUCGGCGCCAACGAAAUCAUAUUCUCAAGGUUGGUGAAGACAAUGAGAUCGAUAAAUAUGGACGAAAGAUGAAGCUGCUCAAGAUCAUCUAUGGUACAAAGCACAAUGAUUCCAUGUUGUAGCCUCCUUUGACAGGGGUUUGUUUCGACUGUAAGACAUAUGCGCUCAUUCGUUCCUGCCAUUUAUGACAUAACAGUGGCUGACCCUAAAAGUACUCCUGCUCCUACAAUGCUAAGACUCUUAAAUAGGAAACCUUCUGUGAAAAUGAUAAAACAGAAAAUGAUAAAAAACAUUGGAGAAGGCAAAGUAUCCGAAUCAAACAAUGGUGAUACAGUUAUUGAUAUUCCACCAGACCUGUUGAUUACAGAAUUUGAGGACCCAAUCGUAGCAAUAGUUAAUUCUACAUAUCCGGAAUUUACGAGCAAUUCUUGCUUCUACAUUGGAGGAGACGUGCGUGAUUAUUUCAGUGCAAAUUCUAUUGAUAAGUCGGAAUUCCACGAUGUAACAUUGGUUGACAUCCUCACCCCAGAAUUUCUCAGUUCACUGCAAACAUCAGGAUUACCUAA